ACACGACUAUAGCCAGCCGCCGCGGUAAUACCAGCACCCCGAGUGGUCGGGACGAUUAUUGGGCCUAAAGCAUCCGUAGCCGGUUCUGCAAGUCUUCCGUUAAAUCCACCUGCUCAACAGAUGGGCUGCGGAGGAUACUACAGGGCUAGGAGGCGGGAGAGGCAAGCGGUACUCAGUGGGUAGGGGUAAAAUCCUCUGAUCCACUGAAGACCACCAGUGGCGAAGGCGGCUUGCCAGAACGCGCUCGACGGUGAGGGAUGAAAGCUGGGGGAGCAAACCGGAUUAGAUACCCGGGUAGUCCCAGCUGUAAACGAUGCAGACUCGGUGAUGGGUUGGCUUCGAGCCAACCCAGUGCCGCAGGGAAGCCGUUAAGUCUGCCGCCUGGGGAGUACGGUCGCAAGACUG
rnacentral:rRNA from 1 species